UUUAUGUUUAUUUACUUUAAGAUGAUUAAGAUUGGUAAAUUUGAUAAAGCAUCAAUAAAUUCGAUAAAAUUUUGAAAAUUUUAAAUUGGUAAAAUAUAUAAAACUUAUUUAAACGGUAGAUCCUUCUAAUUUGGCUAUUCAACCUUUUAAAAUUUUAAUUUUACUGUCCAACCUUUCAAUUUAUCUGAUUUUAGUCGGUCAACGUAUUUUAACUUUCAAAUUUAAGCUGAUUAAUUAUUUUUAUAAAUUUAUAUUUCUGAUAGUUAUAUAAAGUAUACUAAUUAAAUCUGUAUAGAUAAACGAUAAGGUCAAAGUGUCGUUAACUAACUCAAAGCAAACAAAUUAAAAUAUUAGAUAGUAAAAUUAAAAAUUUGAAAGAUUUGAUAACUAUAUUAAUAUGGGUUACAGUUCAAAUAAAUUUUGUACGUUUUCAUCAAAAAAAAAAAAAGUUUAAAGUUGAGGGGUCGUAUCAAAAUGAUCUAUAGUUGAGGGGUUAACAGCGCAUUUUCGCCUUUCUAUAUGCUAUAAAAACCCCCGACCAACGUCGCUUCGUACUCUUUCACUCCUCCCACACACCACCUUACUCCGCUCACCACCGACUCCUCACUCUUUCUCCUACCUCGCGAUUUGCCCUAGCGGAGGAUCCCCUCACCUCCUCCCUCCUCCUCCUCCUCCUCCUCGAUCUCGACCUCUUCCUCCUCGAUCUCGACCUCUUCGGCGAGGCCAUGGGGGACAGAGUCGACUACGUGUUCAAGGUGGUGCUCAUCGGGGACUCGGCGGUGGGGAAGUCGCAGAUCCUGGCGCGGUUCGCGCGGAACGAGUUCGCCCUCGACUCCAAGGCUACGAUCGGGGUCGAGUUCCAGACGCGGACCCUCGUCAUCGACCACAAGAGCGUCAAGGCCCAGAUCUGGGACACCGCGGGACAAGAGAGGUACCCGAUUAGCCCCUGCUCCUCUCGAAUCAGAUCCGUUCCCGUUCGUCUCCGAUUUGGUGCUAGUAAUCACUUGUAGACUUCAAUGUUUGGCUUCAGAUCAGUGUUUUUGAUGAAAUUUUUGCUAUUUUUUUUUUCUUUGUUUUUCAUGUUUACUAGUGUUCUAGCUGCUCGGAUUUGGUAUUCAUUGCUUGUAGAUUUCGAGUUUAGCUUCAGAUCAGUGUUUCUGAUGCUAUUUUACCAGGUUUUCUUAGGUUUUCCUCUGCAUUUUUGAUCCGAUCCUUUCGUCUUGGAUUUGCUAGUAAUCAUUUGUAGAUUUCGACGUUUUUCUUCAGAUCGGUGUUCAUAGCUUACUCUAAUGUAGUUUUGCUAGGUUUUCCUCUGCUUUGUCUGUUUGUUAGGCUUCUAUCUGCUCGGGUUUGAUAGUAAUCACUUGUUGAUUUCUAGUUUAGUAGGUUCAGAUCGGUAUGCGUAGUAUCUUUUUAUGCUAUUUCAAGUUCUAUUUUGGACACCGCACCACAAGAGAAGUGUUAAAUCCUUCUCUUCUCUUCUCGAUCCGUUCCCAUUCUACUCGGAUUUUGUAGCAAUGGCGAGUUGAUUUUGCGUCUAGCUUCGGAUCAGUGUUUUGCUAGGUUUUUCCUCGUCUUGUAUUAAUCCCUUAUCUUCUUGAUCCCAUUCCUUACCCUUCUUCUCGGAUUUGAUAGUAAUGGCCUCUAGAUCUCGACUUGAGCUUCAGAUCACUAAUCCUAGCUUGUUUUGAUGCUAUUUCGCUAGAUUUUCUCCUCUUUUUUUUUUUUUUUCUGUUCAGUACGCCUCUAAAUACUUCAAGAGAGUUGCUAAACCCUUUUCUUCUUUAUCAAAUCUGAUCCCAUUCUACUUGGAUUUUGCAGUAAUGUCCUGUAGAUUUAGAUCUUACGGUUAGAUUUUUGUUUCCAGAUUAUUUUGAUGCUUGUGUGAUUUGCUUUGCUAGAUUUUUCUCUGUUGUUAUGUUUUACUAGGAUAUAUUGAUUUCCGGAUGCUUUCAUGUUAAACCUUUGCACUGUAUAACAGAUUAUACUUUUUAGCAUUGUAGUGGCAAGUGUAGCAUUUGGUUGGAUCUGUUUAAUCCAUUUGCGUACUCUUUCGUGGUGUUGAAACCAAUUUUAACUGCUGAAUCUACCAUUUUAUUGAUGAAUUGUUGUUAAAAUGUUGGUUGUUUCCUGUUUUAGCAUGUGUUUGUUUUGUGAUAAUCUAUGUAGGAGAGAAACAACUGAGGAAGAUUGAAAUGAUUAGAAGUCAGUAUCUUCUUAAAGAUGUUAAUAGUUAUGAAAUCCAUAUCUUCUUUGACUAUUUUGUAAGUGCAAUCUCAGUAAGCGAAUACCUUCGCUUUCGAUGUCUCUCUUAGUAAAAUCACGAAUAAUUCCCGAAUCAUUCGCGGACGAAUUUAUAAAUGAGUAAUUUUCUCCAUUUGUUUUUUUUUUUCCCUUUUGAAAUGUAUAAAUAUGUUUUAUGCAUGCAAGUAUGCAACACAUAAUCGACUAAUAGCAACACUUGUAAAACUUUCCUACCUAUAUAAAUGGCUUAAUAUUUAUGCCUAAUUUUCCUGCCGCAUCAUAUGAAUCCCAUAUGUUAUUCUCUCUCUAGGUUUCCAAAUAUUUCUUACUAUUCAAAACUACCACUUGAUAAUUCGCAUGCCGAAUUUUUGCUGUAUCUACAUUAAACUGUGUUCAAUGUUUUACGUAACAGGUACAGGGCGGUGACGAGCGCAUACUACCGCGGCGCGGUGGGGGCUCUGCUGGUCUACGACAUAACCAGGCGGCAGACCUUCGACCACAUACCGCGGUGGCUGGACGAGCUGCGGGCGCACGCCGACAAGAACAUCGUCAUCAUGCUGGUGGGCAACAAGACCGACCUCGUCGACCAGCGGACCGUGCCAACCGAGGACGCCAGAGAGUUCGCCGAAAAGGAGAACCUCUUCUUCCUCGAGACAUCGGCGCUCGAAGCCACCAACAUCGAGAGCGCUUUCCAAACCGUUCUAACUGAGAUAUUCAAUAUCGUCAAUAAGAAGAACCUUGCCUCUGAUUCGCAGAGUAACGGUAAUGGGAGCGCGCCGAUCUCGGGGAAGAAGAUUAUCGUGCCGGGGCCAGCGCAGGAGAUACCGAAGAGCAAGGCCUGCUGCAAAAGUUUGUAAGUUUCUUUCUCUUUUCCCUUUUUUUUUUUUUUUUUUUUUUUUUUUUUUUUUUUUUUUUUUUUUUAAAGCUUGCUGUGGAGAUUGUUUCUGUAUUCAAUUUUACAUCUUGUGGAUCUCGGUUGAAUCUUUAUAGCACUGCUAACGGGUGUGAGUUGAGAUUUAAAGAGGAAACUUUAGAUGUCUUUUGUAUUAAAUACGGUUGGAAAAUAUUUGUCUUGAUGGUCCAAUAUAAGACUGUUUUAUCUGCCAUCCAUCGUUUGUAUCUUAAAAUCUUGUGAACGGCGAAUGACCAUUCGUCUCAACAUUUGGCUGGAUUUUGAAAUAGCUUUUCUAUUUUGAGAAAUGCUUUUUGAGAUGCUUGGCUUUUGUUUAAAAGCUGCAGCAUUGUGGAGAAGCUGAAGAUAAAAAGGUGCAGAGACUUUUUUAGGUGUUGGCAGCUUGGGGGAAAGGAGUCCGACAAUUUUAUUUUGAUCGACUCUCUAGCAUUUUAUUUUUUUUUAUCAACCAAAUAGAAAUUUUUUUAAAAAAAGUGACAUGAUAAUCAAAAAAAACCUUAGUUAAAAAUAUAAGACAACUAUACUUAGAAUUUGAAAUCUCAGAUACCCACUUGCGUGGGUACGGCCAGUCAAAUAGGCCGUAGUGUUAAAAUUUAACUAUUAAUGUUUUGGUAAAAGAAUUUGCAAUUUGUUGUGAUCUGCUACUGGUCUUUUGCUAACGUAUAGUCAAUUUGAACAAAUUUUUUAGUUCGAUUUAGAGAAAUAAUUUGAAUCAAAAUAUUCAGAAGUGUCAAUUAAAUAUAAAAAAGAAAAAUUGACCAAAAGUAGGACCUAUUUGUUUGGAAAUGGCAUAUACUAACUCAUUCAACUCUCUCUAACUUUGACCUAUCACAAAUUCACAAUCACGUGAAUCUAAAUAGAUUAUACGUGCCUCGCAAAAAAUAAAAGCUUAUCUCCAAUUUGUAGCUUGUGCUGCACCAAAAAGCUAGCCAAAGAAUUUCUAUGAGAAAAUAGCUCGUAUAUUCUAGAACAAAAUCCUUCCAAAACCCUCUUUUUUCCAAGUGCUCCAGAAGCUGCAAAAAGCCUAAAAGAAAGUCUCUUGGACUAAACAGCCAGCUUACUGUGUUAGGCAAAAUACAUAUGCGCUUAGGGGCGUUUGGUUCCCCAUAAAAUGGUCAGAAAAAAUUUUUUCAGUUGAAAAUUAUUUUUCUAGCGCUUGGUUUGAAGUAAAAAAAAUUUACGAAAAAAACUAUUUUACAGAUUCUGUGGAAAAGCUUGCUUUUUCAUUUUCUGUGGAGAUUCAGCAGAAAACGAAAAUUCACCAUGAAAAAUUGCGGCUCAUGCUUUUCCUUGCAUCGGGGUCCACGAGCUCCGGUAAGAGCUAGUGGACCGAGAUGAGCUCACCUAUAUAUAUUUUAUUUAUAAAUAUAUAAUAAUUUAUUUUAUAAUAUUAAAUAUAUAUUAUUAUUACAUAUUAUAUUAUAUUAUAUAUUUAUUAUAUAAUAUAUUUUAAAUAUAUCUUGUUUAUAAGUAUAAAUUAUAAUAAUUAAAUAUAUUCUGAUAAUUAUUAUAUAUUAAUAAUAUAUAAUAUAUAUAAUAGAAAAAAAUAUAUAUAUAUAUAAUAAUUUUUCAUAUAUAGCAUAAUAAUAAUAAUUAUUAUAUAUUAAUAAUAUAUAAUAUAUAUAAUUAGAGAAAAUAUAUAAUAAUUAUUAUAUAUUAAUAAUAUAUAUAAUAAAAAAUAUAUUAAAUAAUUUUUUUUUUCUUUUAACCAAAAAACCGUUGCAAAAAAUUAAUUUUCUUUUCCUACAAACCAAACACAAACAACGUAAAAUUUUUUUUCCACCGAAAAUUUUUUUUCUACCGUUUUACGUGGAACCAAACACACCCUUAAUUUAAUACUAGUCAAUCUUGCAUAAAACUACGGUAAAAUCCUUUUGAAACUCAUGGUGCAUGAAACUGCAUCUAGCUGAUAAUUAACACAUUUCGCGAAGAAACAGAAAUAUUUGAACUCAAUACAAAUCAACAAAAAAAUCAUCAUCAAUGCCGACCCGAGUGAAACCCCUUGUGAAAAAGCCUUGAGAACUCCAACAGUCAAUAACCAGUCGGUCCAAAAGUCAGUCUCAUCAAUGAAAAAUCGAGAGAGAGAGAGAGAAAGAGAGAGAGAGGGUGGGGUGGAGGGCAGGACCUAAGGUUUCAAGCGGCGGCGGGCGAUGCCUUGGACGCGGCGACGGAGAGCUUGGACCGCCGCUUGGCGAGGCUUUCGCUGCGGCGCUCACGCUGUUCCUUGAGGCGGGUGGCGAGGAGCUUCUGGUACUCGGCGGCCUCCGCCUUGGCCUUGGCGAUCCUUUUCUUCUUGUCCGCAAUACGAGCCCUCUUCCUCUGCAGCGUCAGCGGCGUCACCAGCCUCUGGAUCUUCGGCGCCUUGCUACACUUCUUCCCUGCAGAUUGGCAAAAACAACGAGGAAUGAGAAAAAUAAGCUAAGCAAAAUGAAAAAAUAGUACACAAAUAUAAAGCACUUCAAUAUCGGAGUUAAUAAGCAGAAAUAAUAAGUCGAAAACUUGUGCAAAAAAACAAAAUAUAUUAUCCAUUGUUGCAGCCCAAAAGGAUCACAAAGCAGCCUACUUGAAAUGACCAACUAACAAAGAGAUAUUUCCCUAUGUAUACCUGCAGAAUACGAGUUUUCAUAUAAGCCCUUCGAAAACCUUUCCCCACCAAUUGGAUGACAACCUAACUUUAGAUAAUGGUAUGUUUGUAAAAAACCGCAAUUUCGAGGGGCAUGUAUAAAAUACAAAAUAGCUAAUUUUUGAAGGGAUGUAAAUAUAAAGGCCCUAAAUCCAGAUAGAAUCAUAAAUUUGCACAAAAAAAGAAAAAAACCUGAUUUGGUGGUAAAGGUGCGGCGGUAUGUAUUAACAUAUUUACGGACAUCAUCCUCCUUGGAGAGGUUGAACAGCUUCCGGAUCUUAGAAGCCCUUUUGGGUCCCCUCAUUCUGGGUUUCUCGAUGUCAGUCAGGCCAGGGAGAUCAUUCUCCCCUUUCUUGACAAUAACCAAGUUCAGAACAGAGAGGUCGGGGCUGACGAUACACCCACGGACGGACUUCCUCCUCCGUUCUCCGUUACGCCUCCCGUACCCACGGAAGCAAGGAGUUCCUGGGAAGGAAUGACAGAUUGAAGAAGAUGAGAAAGGAACAUAUACGGGAAAUCUCUUCCAUAAAAAUGCAUUAAAGUUAGCUUCUAUAGACCUCAUGUGAAUUAUAAAAACAUAUUGGUCGGUGAACUCUUUCGUUGUUAACUGGUGACAUUACAAGAACAUGCCAAAUUCAUCCAUUCCGGCAAAAUAAAGUCUUUAUUACUUUAGUUCUUAUCCAUUAAUUUUAACUGUUUUCAUUUGAAUGUUGCAGACUUAUGAAUUCUUGUUAGAUCUUAAUUGUCCGCGUCAGGAAAAGUGAUGAUAUAUACAUGUAAGAUUAUGUCGAGUGCAUAUCUACUUGACACAAAAGAAUGCCAAUGGUGAUCUACGACAGAUUAAAGAAUUAAUUGGUAAGAGAAAAGAGUUCAAGAGACAAAUAGACAUCUUCAUAAGAGAGAGAAAUUGUAAAAUGACGUCGUAGCAAAGCUGCCUUAUGCCCAUCCAAAGAGGAUAACAGGAUAUCAAGUGUAGAAAGGUAAAUAGCAGCACACAAGGUUACCUCUAUGAAGCAACAAGCGGACACGUCCAGGGGUAAGGACACCCUGCUUCAUUGGAAAGCCCUGCUUGUCACAGCCUCCCAUGAUUUUGAAAACAUAGCCCUUGAACUCCUGUUAGAAAAAGAAAAAAAAUAAUAAAUCAAUGCCCUCAUGGAAAAAUAUCGAAUAAAUAGUUUUCGGAAAAUAAGUUGUGCUCAUGCUUACCUCACCAAGAGCAUCCCCACUGACCUCCUGAGAGAUCCUUUUGUCGAAGAAGGCGCGACUGCAAAUGUCACAGAUUCAUUGAGUAAGCUUCUUAACAUAAGUGGAAGAAAAGAAAACUAAUCAAUAGGAAGUGGAUUCUAGUUUACUUAGAAAAAAAAAAAUUCCAGAGUAAGAAUGUCCAACAAAUAGUUGGAUUCUCAAAUUAGAUCAUGAACCCUUACAGCUAUGUUUCUUAAAAUACCUUCAGACAAAGCAAUUAUACUUCAAUCAAGAAGACAAAAAAUGUGACAAAUAAACUGAAUCUAUUGCAAAAGCAUGAAGAGACACUUGAAUUUCAUACUGAUGCAAUUAUGUGCUGUCAAAUCAGUCUUCUAGCUCUAAUUAAUUCAACAAAAGACCAAAUACAAUGGACUCGCUCAGUCACUACUUGCUACAUUAAGGGACGUUUGGAUUGAUGUAUUGUAGUUCGGUAUAAACUAGAAUAAUGUUGGAGAUGCACCAUCUAGUUGUAGGCUAGCUUUUGGGUCUUUUAUUAAACAAUACUUCAAACCUAGGCGUCACGGACACUGAUACGGGACACAACACGGCUUGAACACCGCGACUCGGCAACUUAAAAAAAAUUAGGACACGGACACGGCAUUAACACCGCCAAUAAAAUAUAAUAUUAUUAAUAUAAUAAUAUAUUUUUAUUAUAUAUAAAAUAUUAAUUUUGGUGAAAUAUUGUUAUAUUUCUCAUACGAAUGAAAGUAGUAAAAUUUUCAUUGAUAGUUCAUAUAUUUAAAAAAAAAAUUCCACCAUACAUAAUUUAUUUAUAUUGUCAAAAAAAAAAAAUAUAUGCAUUCAUCAAAAAGCUAAAAUAUUUAUUAUCGUGCAUUACAUAUGCAAAGAAAAAGUAAAAUAAAAAUAGGUAUAUAUUUUUUUUAGUUGUAUGCGCUAUGGAUCAGCAUUAAACGGGCGUCCGAGGAGUGUCUACAUCGGACACAUGUCCGACACGGACACGUGCAUGUCCGACAGGGACACGUGAGGCUUAUAAAAGUGUUCGUGAUACGUAGCUUUAGACCAUUUCGAAGGGAAUUUGUUUUUGAGAACUUAAGCCCAUGGCUACCCGAUUGCCUCCUGGAUUUUCUCAGUGUCUUCACGAUGAACUGCAAGAGUAAUGUUUCUACUCUUAAUAAUUUUGAUAUAUUGCUGAAUCACAACUUCAUCAAUCCAAACACGGGUCUUGCCUUCCAUGAGAAUCAGAAUGAGUUCAGGUUAAGGUUAUUCGACAAUUCUUCUUAUUCGGUGAACUAAAAGAGGGCAAUAACUACAUUUGGUGGACUCAGAGCUUUGCGAGCCGGUGUAGCUGACAACUGGAAAUCUCAAAUGAAUCCACAAGGUCCAGAAUCCCACAAUGGUAUAUUUUACUCGCUUAAAGGUACUUAGUCAACUUGAAAUUCUACAUUUUUUUUUUCCAAAAACAUAUCAAUAGUCCAUAUUAAUUCCUUUUUAAGCUAAAAUUAUAUUAAAAGCUCCUAUUUGUUGGUAAGAAACAGUUAGCAGUAGUUUGAACACUUAAAGUGCUUCUUUUUGAAGCUCAGGGACAACUCAAUAACUAUGAAAAGAGAUGCAAAAAUUUGACAAGUUUACUAUACAUUAGCAAACUAGAGAUCAACAACCAUCACAUUCUACUUUAAGAUAUAUGGAAACUCAAACAAAGGUCAAUUAGAAGAAAAGAAGAGGAUCAUAUCAAACAUCAGACAAUAGAAUUCAUACAACGCUCCCUUGGAUCGAAUCUAAUUUAGCUCGGAAACGAAAAGAAAAAUCCAAUAAAACUCACAGUUUCUGGUCGUCAUCGAUCUCGAGCUUCUUCUGGCACCCUGUAGUCGGAUUCGCGAUAUUAAACUGCACAUUAAGCACGAAAAAAUCGACAAAAUUCAACAAAAAUCAAACCAAUUCCACCAAGAACGAACGAAAUCAAAAGAACACGAGAAUCGCUUCGGCAAAUGGAGGAUUCAUGAGGCUAGGGUUCGAGGUUUAGAGGAGAUUGUUACCUUCAUCGUGCACCGUGGAGGCGAUCGGAGGGAGAAGAGGAAGAGGAAGAGGAGAGCGCGAAGGGAGGGAGGGAGAAGCGGCCACUAGGGUUUCUCUUCGAAGUUUUCGGAGGGAUUUCGACGGGGCCCUUAUAUACCGCACCGAGGAAGAAAACACAGCGUUUCAAUUUUCGUGCGUUUAAUCUUGACCCUUUAUUUAACAUCAGUAUAUUUUGAUAUUUUUAUGUAUAUGGGGAUGUAGCUCAGAUGGUAGAGCGCUCGCUUAGCAUGCGAGAGGUACGGGGAUCGAUACCCCGCAUCUCCACUUAAGUUUUAAAAAUAUUUUUAUUUAAAUAAAUUUUUUUAAAUGGAAAUUUUUUUAAUUCAGUGUUCAAUUUUUCUUGAAAUUUUGAAUUUUCUUAGGCUGAAUUUAAAAUUCUUUUAUUUAAUUUAAUUUUUUUUUAAAUGGAGUUUUUUCAACUGAAAAUUUUCAAUCCAGCAUCUAGAAACUUCUUGAAUUUGAGUUUUGUUGGAAUAAAAUUUAUAUUUUUUUAAAAAAAAUGAAAAUCGGAAAUUCAACGUGUAAAACUUCUCUCUUAAACUUGGAGUUUUAUUUCGGACAUGCUUGGUUGUCUGUAAGUGAUCAAAGUGAAAAAAAAGUCACUUUUCAAAAAAGUGACUUUUAUAAAAAUUACUUUUGAAUUUAAUUGUUUGAUUUCAAAAAAGUGAAAGAAAAAAAAUAGUGUUUAUGACUUUUAUUGUUUAGUUUUAUAUAAGAAAAUAAAAAAUUAAAAUAUAUUUUUUUAGAUGCCUAGUUUUUUUUUUUUUUUUUUGUAAAUGGUAUGGAAUAAGGCAUGUCUUUUUCUUUGUUUUUUUUUGUUUAAGAUGUGUUAGUUUUUUUUAUUAAGAUACGGUAGUUUUUUUUAUUUUUUAUUUUUUAUAUUUUGUAAAUGGUAUGAAAGAAAGCUAUUGGAUGCGGUUCGUAAGUCGCAUGGGUAGGUGGCUCAUUUUUAAUAAUUUCAGAAUUUUUUUGUUGAAAUAAGUAAAUUUUAGUUAUAAUUCACUUUAUAGUCAAUCAAACAUGCUCUAAGAUAAAGUGAACCUUCAAAUAAACUUACCAAGGCUAUUGAUGAGCGUAAAAUUGUUUUUGCGCCGGUAUAGAAUACAAAAAAAUAAAAAUAUUUUAAUUUAACCAUCCAAUUAAAUUUUAAUCUUAUUAUUAAUUUUUUUAAUUUAUUUGUUUUGGAGCAGACAACCAUAUUUUGAUUUUUAAAUUGAGUGCAUCAUUUUUUUUUAUAAAUUUAAUUAGUAUGCCACGUAUAAUUUUUAUAAUUAUAAAUUUAUUAAAAUAAAUAAUUAAUUUAAAAUUUAAAAUUAAAAUAUUAUUGAUCAAUUUAAAUUAAAUAAAUUAAAAAAUUUAUAUGGUGGACCAAGUCGAAUCAAAUAAAUUAAAAAUUUGAUAAUAAAUAUUUGUAUUUAGAUAAGAUAUGCAUAUUUUUACUUUUUUUUUUUUGUCAAAGAUAUGCAUAUUUUUACUGACAAAAUCUACGUCCCUGGAUGUACUCCUUCGUACUUGCUUGGGUGGAAAAGAAUGGUAAAAAUUAAAUAAAAAGCUUAUUUUUUAACAAAAUAUUUUUUUUCUUUUUUUAAAUAUUUUAAAUUUAUACAUCAAAAACAAAAACAAAAAAAACCGCACCACUCUCUCGAUCCGCGAGAAGACAGAAUGACCAAUAGAAAGCUAGGAUCCAGCGCCAGCAAUCCGAGUGACAACUUGAUAGGUGAAUCCCAUCCGUAGGAUCAUGCUAAAUACUUAAAAAAUAAAAUAUCUCAUCUACACCGUCAAAUAUUGAAAAGUUCUACCCGGAUCCGUACCGACCGUCCGAUCAAUAAUGCAAAAAACCGACGAAGCUAUGUAACGGAUCCCCAUUUGCCCUAUAAAUUGCGUUCUACCUCCGACUAAAAACAAAUUCUUUCUAUAUUUUUCGAAAUCGAUUCGCCCUUAAUUCGACGAGGUAAAGGUUUUUUCUUUCCCCCUUUUUAAUUUUAUUUUUCUUUUUUUGCACAUUAAUCUCGUCGGUUUAAUGCAAUGCAUUGAUUAGCAGUAGGGAUCGCCAGUAAUUAGGGUUUUCUUUUUUCGAUUUUUUUGGCUUUUCUUUUAAUUUGAAUAAUUUUGCUGUUUACUUACAAAAGAUGCAGGGUUUUAUUCCUGAUUCGAAUUUGAUUAACAUUUUCUUUAAGUUUAUGAUUUUUUUCUUUUUUUUUCGAUUUUUUUUUGCACAUUAUUAUUAUUUUUUUGUAUUAAUCUCGUCUAUUUAGUGCAAUGCAUUGAUUAGCAGUAGGGAUCGUCAUUUAAUUAUUGUUUCCUUUUUUCGAUCUUUUUGGUUUUUUUUUUAAUUUGAAUAAUUUUGCUGUUUACUUGUAAAAGAUGCAGGGUUUCUGAUAUCUGAUUCGAAUUUGAUUAUCAUUUUCUUUGAAUUAAGGGUUUGUGAAUUUUCUUUUUUUUCAGAGCAAGUUUUUCUUUUCUUUUUUUUUUGCACAUUAUUUGUUUUUUUAAUAUUAAUCUCGUCUCUUUAGUGCAAUGCAUUGAUUAGCAGUAGGGAUCGUUAUACAAUUAGGGUUUUCUUCGAUUUUUUUGACUUUUUAUUCGAAAAAUUUUGCUGUUUUCCUACAAAAUAUUCAGGGUUUUCUUUUUUUCUUUUUUUUUUUUUGAGAGAAAAUUACUUUAAAACCUUAUAUGGAGAUGAGGGUUUCUGAUUUUUUGUUUGAAUUUGAUUAACAUUUUCUUUAAAUUAAGGGUUGGUGAUUAUUAUUCUGCUCUUAAUUUACCUAGUUUUUUUUGCCCAAUUCCGUGCAUCAUUUAGCCCUUGUAGUUCUUUUAGCACUUGAUUGAUUAUUACGUUUUUAUCAAACCGACAAAACCACUUAAACAAUUUAUCCUGUAUUGUUGGCUAACUUACAAAAUGCUCCUAGCUUGUAGCCUUCAUUAUAAUUAACCCAUCGUUUAAAAAGUUGCAUCAAGUUUUGACUCUCUUGAAAAUUUUACAUGCAAAACUUUCAUUAGAAUAUGUUGAGAUAUCAAACGAGUUUUGUGUGUGAACAUCUACUUUUAAAAUCACUAUUUGUGUAGAAGAUCUUAAGUUUACAAAAAGAUGUCUAAUUUUUUUCAGCAGAGUUAUGAAAUUUUCAUAAAUUUUUGGUUCUGAUUUCAACAAUCAUAUCAAAUUUUGUGGGUCCUAUUUGAGAUGUUGGAACACGGCAUGCUUAAAAUUGAUGCCCUUUUUUCAUUAAAACACUGGAGGUUAAUUGAUAUAUAUGGAGUAAAGUGCAGCAUUUUUUUUCUGAUUUAGCUUUUAGUUUAAAGAUUGGAGGUGAGAAUAGUGAAAACUGUUCUGUUUUCUGAUUUGCUUUCCUACAAUAUCUAUUCGUCUUCCUACUCUCCUAUUUAAGUUCUGAAUUUUUUUUUUCCCUUCUUUUUUUUCUUUAAUUUGAAUUGUCUACCUAAUGAUGCUGUUUAAGUUGCAGAUGGCCCGUACUAAGCAAACCGCUCGCAAGUCGACUGGAGGAAAGGCUCCAAGAAAGCAGCUUGCCACUAAGGUUCUCUUUGUUUUUUUCUACUUUUCAAAAAUUACAUCUAAUGUAGAUACUAAAUGAAUUCUAGUUUUGGUGAGCAUAUUUUCUGGGUUAGGAUAUUGAUUUUAAAGUUUACCAGGAUUUGAAUUGGAAUUUAAACAUAUGAGGAUAUGUAUAUCGACAACCAUAUCUAGCAAAAGUUGUAUUCAGAGGAUGGAUUGGAUGGAUAAUAUUUGACUAAUUUUAAUCUUGGACUCUUAUUUUUUUAUUUUUGUUUUUUUUCUUCUAUUCAAUUUGUUGUGGCAUAAGAUGUUGUCGUUUGAUGUUAUAGGCUGCCCGCAAGUCUGCUCCCACAACUGGUGGUGUGAAGAAGCCCCAUCGUUACCGGCCAGGAACUGUCGCUCUUCGGUAUCUUAUAGCUUUAUCAUUCACUAUCCUUUGUUAGUGUUUUUCAUAUUACUUUCAUCAUGAACUAAUGUGUUAUUAUUAUUUUAUUGAAUUCAGUGAGAUUCGGAAAUAUCAAAAGAGCACUGAGCUCCUAAUCAGGAAGCUGCCAUUUCAGAGGCUUGUGAGGGAAAUUGCUCAGGACUUCAAGGUCUCUCUCUCUCUCUCUCUCUCUCUCUCUCUCUCUCUCUCUCUCUCUCUGUGCAUGUGUGCAUGCCAUGAUGCAUCAUUACUCCUUGGUCCAUUGAUCUCGCUAAAUUCAACUUUGUUCUCAAUCUGUAGUUAGAAGAUUGAGAAUCCAUCCAGGUUUUCACUGUUGUCAUUUUCUGAUUAACUCUACCUGAGCUGCGAUUCACCUUGUAACUAAAUGUGGUGCUCAUUGGCCCUUUAUGUUGAUUUUGCUUUAUGCAGACGGAUCUGCGGUUCCAGAGCCACGCCGUCCUAGCACUACAGGAGGCUGCGGAGGCGUACCUCGUGGGUCUCUUUGAGGACACGAACCUGUGCGCCAUCCAUGCCAAGCGUGUGACAAUCAUGCCAAAGGACAUCCAGCUGGCUAGGAGAAUCCGCGGCGAGAGGGCUUAAAUUGUUGACGCUGCAUUUGGGUAUGUUAUUCGGAUGGUGUUGUGGUGAGAUUGUUUGUCUAGUUUUUUGGUAACUGUGUUUUGGAGUGCUCAUUUGGAAAAUACUUUGGUAAGCUCAUCAUAUUAUAGUCCAAUUUUAUUAGUAAUAUUGUUACUUUUUUCUUUUUGGGGUAGCGGUAAUAUUGUUGGUUUUGUUUAGGGUAAUGGUGGUGAAAGUUGCUUCAUACAGUUUGCUAGUUUUAAGUGAUUUUUUUUUUUCCUUGUCCAUUGUGUUCUUUAUUUUCUUUGCUUUUCUUAAGCUUUCGGAUGGUAAUUUUUGCUGUGUGAGUACAUAAUUGUUAAGUUGAGCUAGGGUGCAAGUACCGGCACCAAGGCCUUUGUGCUAUAGAGCCAUUUCAACUCCAUUAAACAUUAAGCAUAAUCUAGAAACCAAAUUUGAUGAUUUUUUUAUAAGAAUCGUUAAAAAGUAAUUACCUUAUAUUGUUCAUCGAAAUCAUCAAAUUUUGAGAUCCUUUUAUCAGUUAGGCUUAGUUUGGUAUUGAGGUCUAUUUAACGCUAUUAAAUAAAAUGGAGUUGUUGAAAAGCAUAUAUGGAUAUUUAUUUUUGCCUUUUCCGGUGGGAUUGCAGAAAAUAUAUCGUAAUUGACUCAUCAAUAUGCUGAAUGUAAUUUUACGUAUUUUCUCAUCGCACGUAAUGUAAUUUUUCCAUAAUUCCAAAUGAAGCUUUAGUAGUUGAUGUCAAAAAAUCAUAAAACUAAGUGGAUACUUCAAAUUUCUAAAAUCAUAUUUAACAAUGUUCAUUGCUGAAUUUGAUGUCGAUCAUUAAAACUGAUUUUAUAGCACAGAAGCCUUGGUGCUGUUACUAUCUAAAUGAUCGUUAGUUGCUCCAAUACCUAACUUUUUAACUUUGAGAGUCAAAAGUUGAUGCUGAAUGAAGGUAUCUUAUUAUCUUUGGCCUGACUAGAAUGCCAGAAUGUGUUGUGUGUGUUGUCAUGGCAACUGAGAUAAAGGUUUUCUUCUGUACAUUUUUUGACACCUUUUGGGGGGAAUAUUAGCAAGUGAUGUGGGGUACAUAAUUUUGUGCUUUCCUUUCUGGGUCUUGUUUGGAGCACCACUCCUUGAUUCUACCUGUGCCUUUAUGCUUCCUAGUGCCUUCUCUGCAACUAUGUCUAUGUUUCCUUUGAAUCCUAAAUUACUUUUUGAGUGGACUUUAUUUUUUUUUUUUUAACUUGUAUGUGGAGAGGAAUAAGAAUGUGAAGGGGUGGAGGAAUUGAUUAGAUCACCUCUCUUGUUUUCAGCAAAAUUAGCACAAAGUAUAAUGCAUUCAUUCUUUUUAUUUCUUUUUUUUAUUUUUAUUUUUGGGCAAUUUAUAUGCUAUUGCGGAACAAAAAUGAAAGGCUUGAAAAAAGGAAAAAAAGAAAAAAGAAGAGAUAAUGCUAUUAUGCAACCAAGGAGCUAUCAAACAAUUUAACCUACAACAAUAGUAGAGUGGCACAAAGUUUCCAUUUUUUGUGGGAAGGAUUUGACAUUUGGUGUUCGAGAUUUUAAGUUUAAAGUUUAAUUGUUUUAUAUAUUUUUAGUCGAGUGUAUCUAUGAAGAAAAAUAAAUAAAAUAGUAUGCUAUUUUUCUAUGAAAGAAAAUAAUAGAAAAGAGGGUUAAUACGAUACAAUUGCUCACAACUUAACAAACCAUUGCUCAUUACAUAGUUAUACACAAUUUCUUGUAUUUCAUAAAUCUAUGCCUAUGAAAAAUCUCUAUUACUUUUCCUUUUUUCCCUUUUUUUUAAUGACAAAUCCUUUAUUUUCCACCAAUGUGCAUAAAAAAUUUAUUAAUGUUGAAAUUUUGCAAAAGUAUGUUACUAUUUUGGAUUUUAUAGGUCCGGAUCUUGAAAAAAUUGACCAAAAUAUUUUUAUUUUUUUUCCCCUCUUUUAUUUUCUCUUUUUUUUUUUAUUCUCUUCGAAGAGGGCUGCGGAGGCGGCCCGCCUCGCCUCUACUCUGUGUGCUCUCACGCUCGCUCGCACCUGCACACCCUUGCUCGUGCUUGUGCACCCUCGCGUCCACCUGGGGCUGGCAACGAGUGAGGUGGAAACGGAGGAGAGUGUGACAACGGGAGGCGGCGAGUGCGGUCUCGGCGGGAUCGGAGACGAGGAGGGCAGGAGCAUUUUCGGUCAAGCACUUUUAUUUAUUUAAAACAAAAAAAAUAACUAAAGGCAAAAAACUAAAGAAUAAGAAAGAAUUAGAAAAGAAGAAAGGAGAAGAUAAAGUUGCACUGUUUAAAAAAAAUGUUGUACUGUUAUAGAUGUAAAGUGUAUUUUAUAAAAUAAAAGUUACAAUUUUUAAAACAAAAUUAUACUAUUUGGAUGAUAAUUACGUACAUUGUUUCUUAAAGAGGAGAAACAGUAUAACUAUCUCCUAAAAAGUAUAAUUUUUGUUUAAAAUGUAUAACGUUCAUCUUAAAAGACAGUUUAUAUCUCAAAAAGUGUAACUUACGUCUAUAACAGUUCAACAUUCUUUUAAAACAGUGUAAUUUUAUCUUCUUCUUUCUUUUUCUCUAGUUCUUUUUUCUUAUUUUUUUGCUCUCGUUCUUUUUUUUUUAUUAUUUUCUCUGGAAAGGGCGAUUGGGGCAAAGGCGGCCUGCCUCGCCUCCGCCCCGCAUGCCCUCGCCCUCGUCCGCGCUCGUGUACCCUUCCCCACUUUUCUCAUCUCCGACCCCGUCGAGGCCACGCUUACCACCGCCAUAUGGAACACCGUCUUGUUAUUGUCGCAGAGGGCUACAGAGGCAGUGAAAGAGGGUCGGAGAGAAAAAUAAGAGAGUCGUGGCACAGUCUCGACGGGGUUGGAGACGAGGAGAUGGGAGGUGGGCAGGUGCGGGCGAGGUCGCGUAGGGCAGAGGCAAUGCAAGGCGUCCAGAGGGCGGGGAUUGUGUGGGCGAGGGCGAGGGCGAGGGCGCGCGGGGCGGAGGCGAGGUGGGCCACCUACGCCCUUGUCGCCAUUUUCGGAGAGAAUAAAAAAAUAAGAGAAAAAAAGAGUGAAAAAUAAAUAAGGAAGAAGAAGUAAAUAAAGAAAAAGAAAGAAUAAGAUGAAGAUGCACUAUUUUAGAAGAACGUUCCGUAAUCUUUGAGGCGUAAAUUGUACUCUUUAAGAUGAAAGUUAUAUUUUUUGAACGAAAAUUAUAUUUUUUGAAAAAUAGCUAUACUGUAAGUGUGACGUUCUUUUAAAAUAGUACAACUUUAUUUUCUUCUUCAUUCUUCUCUAGUUUUUUUUUUUUUGUUUUUUAAUUUUGACCUUUAGUUAUUUGUUUUUAUUUUAAGCAAACAAAAGUGCUUGAUCAAAGAUGUUCUUGUGUACUCCUCGUCCUUAUUGUCUCCGACCUCGCUGAGAUCGCACUCGCGGCCUCCCGUCGUUGUGUUCUCCUUUGUCUCUACCUCGCUCGUCAUCGGCCCCAUAUGGACCACGUGCCCUCUCCCUCCCCAGUGAGCUUCUCGGCGUCGAGAAGCACUUUCUCUUCGUCAUUGGCAGCGGUGGUGAGGGCACGGGUUUUCAAAAAGGGGUUUAGUGGGUGAAAAAUUUGCUACAGUAGAGAUAGGGGGUGAAUACGGAGGAAAAGGAUGCAAUGUCGUCCUCGUUACCAUUAUGGAGGGCCGCAGAGACGGUGGAAGAGGAUCGGAGAGAAAAAAAGAAGGCGAGGUCGGAGAAGAGAAGGGUGGGGGGUGAGCGGAUGCGGGCAAGUGCAUAUAGGGAAAUCGAAAAUAACGGUCCAAUUUUACAAAAUCUUAAAACUUGUGAAUUUUUUAUACAAAUUGACCUUAUUUUCCUUUAUCUUAUAUGCAUACAAUACAAUAAAAAGAAAACAUAAACAGAUUAUUUAUAAGAAACACCCUCAAUAGAACAUCCACUUGGUAGAACUCUUCUCCUUCAUGGUUUUUGAGUGCAACAGCUUAGCCCAAAACCUCUUCUUCUUCUUCUGCUCCUUCUUCUCCAUGUUCUCCUCCUCUCUCCCUUGUUUCUCCUCUGCUUUAUUCUCCUUCACAUCCAAAGAAAGAGACCUCGUUGUUUCCUUCGUCGCCUCGGCUUUGGUCACCAUGUUUUCUUUGAAUAACUGUUGAGAAUUGUUGGUGAAGUUGGGUUCUUCGCCUGGAGGGGAGGCAGCGCAACCGGAGGAGUCAGUCGGAGAGGAGGAAGAAGAAGAAGAUGCGUUUGCGGUCGUCGAAGCGGAGGAGGAAGCUGACAGGUGAAUCAGCUUCUCCCUCAAGCAGUAGGGGCACACUCCUUUGGACUGCUUGUGCUCAAAGUGCUUCCUGCAUCUCUCCUCCCACUCCUGUGACCUCCACAUCUCUCUCUCCCCCUCUCUCUCUCUCUCUCUCUCUCUCUUUCUCUGUGUUUUGUUUGUUAUCUCAAGGGAUAAUAACUUCUUCUAUCUCUCUCUCUUUGUUAUCUCAAGGGAUAAUAACUUCUUCUAUUGCAAGUGCUCUGAAUGUGUCAUCUGAGCCCAUCUUGCAAAAAGCAUCCACUUAUAUUUCCAGCUUUGCAACUUUGACUUCUUGUGUUUUUUUUUUAAAAAAAAUCUCAUUUGUGGACAAAAAUACCCUGCAAGGAUAUUUGUAGAGAGGAGAUUUUAGCUAGGGAUAUUUUGGUUCAUAAAAAAAGAUACUUGAAAUAAAAAGUUCCAAGAACACAAAAAAGAUGGGUCAAAAAUUACAAAAAGAUGCUUUGGGUUCCCACAAAACAGCCCCUUAGUACCAAACUACUAUUUAAAAUAUAUUCUUUGUUUUUAUAAGUAAUAACAUAGCAUGUAAAUUAUAGCGAUUCAAUUACAGUAUAAAUUUUACGUUUCCUAAUAUUAUACGUUAAUAUUUUUUUUCUAACCUUUUAGGCUAAAUAACAUUAGAUAAUCUUCGAUACCAAUUUAGUUAUAAAAUUAUUAUGUCACGAAAUUAUAUGAAUGUAUUAAAUUCUUAGAGCUUUAUAUAUAUUAAUAUAUAAAUAAUAUAUAAGAGCAGUAUUCUAGUAUAUUUGUAUCAAUUUUUUUACCUGCAAAAUAUAAAAUCUAAGUGGAUGUUUUUUUUUUCUAAAAGAAUUAUUUAAAUUUUUAUCUUUAAUUAAAAAAGAGAAAAGACGUGGACGAGAAGUGGGAAAAGGAUGUUCUUGGUGGGAAUCUUUAUGCUUUUUUUUAUUAUCGUUGAGUGUGGAUUGGUUAAGGAGACCAACUAAAUUCACAAAAAAAAAAAAGAAAAAUAUAUAGAAAUUUACGUAGGCCCCACACGGGCCUAUCUGAUCGGCGAGGAGGACUCCGUCAAAGUAAACAACUCGGCGCGCGGGGAAACACACCCUUGGGUUUAGGUGUAAGUCAUGCACACGUGGCAUUUGGUGUAGCAAAUCAGCAAAUUAGAGCCCUCUUAUCCCCAUCUAACCCUUUUAGAUCAUACAAUGGACGGACAAAAUAUAUUGUAAUUAAUUUAUUAUAAUACACAAAAUUGCAUAUUAUGUAUAAAAAUAAAUAUUUUAGUUUAAUUAUAAUUGAUUUAUUUAUAAAAAUAAAUAAAUAUUAUUUUAAUAUCAUUUGAUUCAUGUUAUAUUACAUACUAAACUAAACAGAAUUUUUUUUUACUAAACAAAAUUUUUUUAGGAUCGAGAAGAGCAGCAUUAUGUACGGUUAAUAUGCACGGUAAAAAAAAUACGUGCAUAAAAAAUUUAAUGAAAUAAUUUUUCAGAUUUGUUUCACAUUAUAUGUAACAUAAUUUUUUUGUAAUUUCGAACAAAAUCUUAACCAAAGAGUGUUGUUGAUAGUUUUCAACGUACAAAUUGGCUCUACAGAUAUUUCAUUUAAUGCUAUCAAUUUUAUUGCCUGUGCUUCUGAUUUUACUGUUUAGUUAUUAUUAUCUAAGCAUUUGGCGCUCAAAUAUAUCAUAUGAUUAUUAAAAAUAAAACAAAUUUGAUCUUGCUUUUAUUAUAGGACAUCAUAAAAUGGUGUUGCACUGCGACUUACCUCCAAAUUAGGCAAUAUAUAAAACCAUAGAAAAAUUAAAAAAAUAAUUGUAUGCAAUUAUUCUUUUAAACACAAUAAAUAAGAAGAAAUAGUGGGAAGUAAUUUCACCCUUAAUUGUGUUCAACUAAAUGAAUAAAAAAAAUGAGAUCGUUACACACCUAACUAGUUUUUUAAUUAUAUUUAUUUAUAUUUAUAAUUACUUUCCUGUCCUUGUGAAAAAAAAAAGUUACACCAAAUAUUAUCUUUUUCCGUAUAAUAUUUUUUUUAAAAAAAAUACAUUAUAUUAUUCCCCACGACAGAAAGAGACUAAGCGUUGGUUUCGAACCGUCCAAUAAGAACGGAGGAAUCACCUGUGGUCCCCACAGCCCAAAUGGACGGCUCGGAUCGUUCCCUUGCAAAACAACAACCUUCGUUCUAUCAGAUCGGGCGGUGGAGAAGUGAGCCGUAGUCCUCGCGGUGACCGGGUCAACGGUGCCCGUACCCACGUAUACGCCAAUGAAAUAAUCGCCGCGAGGAAAUCGGACGAGACAUCGGCGAUAUUUCGAGGAGGGAGGAGGGCCCGCACGUGUGGGGGCACGACGCCGUCUUCUCGCCCAAUACUCUGCACGCACGUGUCACUCUUGCUAUUUGCUUGAAGCAUCGUGACCGGUUUUUUUUUAAAAAAAACAUUUAUUCCAUCAUUGCAUAUUUUAAAUAAAUUAAUCAUAUUUUUUAAUCAUUUAAAUUUUUAGGAUUAAUGAUUAGCACCAACGAAUCCGAUAAUAAAAGUGUAUUAUUUACAUUCUUUUAUGAAAAAAUUUUAAAUAUCAUUCAUAUGGUUUCACACUUUCUCACUUUAGUACCCUGUUGUUUAAAGUGUAUCAAUUUAGUGCCAUGUGAUUUCAUUUUUAUCUUUUUAUUAUUAAUUUCACUAAUUUUUUUGUUAAAUUAGUGACAAAGUUAAAAGUAAAAGUUAUUAAAGUAAAUAUUCAAUAAAUUUAAGUAAAAUAUAUGGAGAUUUUUAUAUAUAAUUUAACGAAAUAUUAACAAAAAAAUCAACGAAAAGAUAAAAAUGAAACUAUAUGAAACCAACUUGAUAUAUUUUAAACAACAAGCUACUAAAAUAAGAAAGUGUGAAACUAUAGAAGUGGUAUUUAAAAUUUACCUUUCUUUUUUAUAUUAGUCAUACAAUCAACUAGCAUAACGCGGAAGAUAAUUCAAGUCUAGUUGUAAGAUAGAUUUUGAGUUUUUUAUCUGAAAGAUUAUUUUGAUCCAUCUUAAAGUGAAUUUGAUUUUAAGAAUUUAAGCAUGUAGCUACCUACCAGAUCUUCUUAAUAUCUUCAUUGAUUUACGAUCAAAUUGCAAUUUUAUCAAUCCAAAUACUUUUAGGGCUUGUUUGGUUCAAGGGUGGAAUUGGAAUGAAUAUGGAAUGUGAAUGAAUUGGAAUGGUAAUUGGAAUGGCCCACUCCCCCAAGACGUGGUUUUUUUGUGGAUUGGGAAUUUGAAUAAGUUAUUCACAUUUUAUUAUUUGGUUUGUAUAAAUUAAAAAAAUUAUAGGAUACUAUAAUACUCAUUUUACUCUCAAAUAUAAAUUUAUAUUAUUUAAAAUUUAUGAAAAAUAUAAUACGGUUCUCUAAUAAGUUUUUCAAAAAAAAUAUCAAAUUUAUUUUUAAAAACUUUUAUUGAUGUGGGUUAGGGAUAGGGUUUUGAGAGAGGAUAGAGUUUUUUUUUUUUUGAUGAGAAAGGGGUGGAGAGAAGGAGGGUGAGAUGGUCACAUGAGCUUCGAGAACUUAGUGGGCUUCCAGAAUGAAAUCUCAAUUCGGGCUAGAAAAUCGGAAUGAAGUUGAAGGCUAAUGGGCCAUUCCCAUUCCAGUCCGGAAUAGAAAUCUCAAACCGAUUCAUGCGAACCAAACAAAAUUAACCGGAUUUGAUCAAACCGAUUUCCAUUCCAUACCCAAAAUGAAUGAACCAAACAAGCCGUUAGGGUCUGUUUGGAUCGAAGUCGGAAUCGGUAUCGAAUUGGAAUGAGAAUAAAUUGGAAAUGGAAUCGGAAUAAUUCAUUACCUCAUUCUGACUGGUUUGCCAACAGAAGCAGAAUCGGAAUGAACUAUUUUCAUUGUCGGUGUUUAAUUUAAAUAGCUAUCAGAAACAUAAUUAAAUUAAUAUGUUAACUUUAUCUUUAUAAUACAUUAGUUUAAAUUCAAACUGAAAUUAAAUAUUAAAAAGUUAUGCCAAAAUUUUAAAAUACUGCCAAAAUUUUAAAUAUAUGUUUUUUUAAAAAAAUAAAAUUUGAAGUUGAACGGAUAAUUCAAAAUAUAAAACUAAAUUUUAAUUUAUUUAAAUUCAAACUUAAAAUUAUGAUUUGAAUCCAUAAAUUUAUUUUAAAUAUUAAAUAAAAUUUGAAUAAAACUUUAGAUUUUAAAUUAAAAAUUUAAAUUUAUAAAUUAGAUUUGAAAUGCUUAAUUGAAAUUUAAUUUUUAAUUUAAGUUGAAAUUAAAAUUUAAAUUUAUAAAUAUAAUUUUUAAACUAAAACUUAUAUUUUAAUUAAAAAAUAAGUUUAAAAAAGUUAAAUUUAAUCGGAAUAAAUCCAUUCCGCCUAUAUUUAAUUUUCGAUCUGGCCUUCUAGGCGGAUUGGUAAAAGGGAUAAUUGGGAAGACUCCUAUUCAUUCAGGAAUCGGAUUCGAAAUGAGAAUUCCGCAUACCAAACAUGGAUAAAGAGAUUUUUUAUUCCGAUUCCGAUUCUAAGGUGAAAAUGGGCGAACAAAACACACCCUAAGCCCUACCACAGGAACAAUUAUGAAAUAGAUCAUAAGGGCAAACAAUGAAACAAAUAUGUUAUUAGUGAGUGAUAGAUUCCUAAAAAAUUGUUAAAAACAAGGGUUCAAAAACAUAUACGGAAAGCACUAUUUUGACGGUUUUUAUUUUCUGGAUAAAAGGUUGAAAACACGAAAAAUAAAAUUUUUUAAUAAAAUUUGAAGAACCUUUUCAAUAAAACUACCUAUUUGGGAACCAAACAUCGAAAAUAUGAACGGCUUUUUUUGAAUAUAUUUCGAGAAACCAAAUACUCCCUCUAUAGUCUAUAUUUAUAGAAAAAUAAACUAAAUUACAAAAAACGUCCCUGUAUUUUAGGCGAUGUUCUUUUGCCUCUACAUUAAAAAUUGUCAAUUUUCCUUUUAUAUUUUACCCUAUUUCAAAUAAGUCCAAAAAUUUAAGAUAAUUGAUUAACUACUUAGAAAACUUCAUAAAAAACUAGUUAUACAUACUUAUUCUAUAUCUUAACAUUUAUUUAAUUUUUAACUUAAAAAUAUAUAACAAAUUAGAUGAAAGGAAUAUCAAAUUUUACUAAUGUUAUCAAAAUUGAUAGUAAAUUGAACGAGUUCAUUCACUUUAUAUAGUUAUACUGCAUUAAUCAAAACAAUUUGUAUUUAUAACCUUUUCUUUAUAAAAUUUUAUAAUUGGAUUCAACAAUCACUGUAAAUUUUAAGAGCUAUUCGAAAUAAUGACAAAUUGUAGAAAGCUAAUUAAUUUAACUUUUUGUGUAGAAAAGUAAUUGAGAUGGGUAAUGUAGAUGAUUUUAGUCAAUCGACUUUAUUCAAAAGGCAAUAAAAAAAAUAAUAAAAAUAAAAAUAGAAAUUAAAAAGAAAGAGAAAAAGUGUAAAAAAUGCAGUCAUUUGGACUAUGGUUAUAAAAAUAAAAAUAAAAUAAAAAGUUUUUUAUGGUGUCGAUAAAAAAUAAAAGUUGAAGUGGCUAUUUUAGAAUUGCUUAUAGUUAGCAUAGUUAGAGUUAGUUAAUUCGUGAAUUAUUAAAAAUUCGAAUAAAACGGCAUGUAUACAAUUCAUUCCUAAAAAGUCAGAAUAAUACGCGAAUCGUUUGAUUAGAUUUAUUAUUCGCGAAUAAUUCACAAAUGCUGAACUAUUCGGCCAAAAAAACACGCAAAUUUUUUAAAUAAAAUUUCUUUCUGAAUUAUCGUCGAAUUAUUCACGAAUUAUUAAAAAACUUCAUGAACUUUCGAAAUAUGUGGAACAUGAAAAACAUGAGGAUGGAGACGACAAUAAAAUUUACUAUCAUUUUUUUUACUUAAUCUACUUUAUUUUGUAGCUCUCUUUUUUUAUAUUUUUAAGAAUUUAUAACUAUGAAGAUGAGAAGGCGGACCCGCGACCCGUUCGUCCGCUUACUCGCUUAUCAUGCAUUUUCGGACCGAGCAAGCCAGCGGAGGCCCAAUCUGCGAGCGAAUUUCAGCCCAGCCAGCCGAAUUCCCAUUCUUGCCAAUUUGCAUUCUAGCCCUCAUAGGAUAGUUUUCUUUAAUUUCAGUAUUAAGUAGUAGCGAGUAUAUAUACAAGAAUAUAAUUGCAACAGGAUAAAAAAGAAAUUAAUUAGUAUUUAUAAUCUUUUAAAGUUGGGCUAAAAAUUUAAACUUAAUAAUCUAUAUUAUAUAUUUAUAAUACAAAUAUAAUUAUAUAUAUAUAUAUAAUUUAUAAAAUUAUAUUAAUAUAAAAUAAAUAUAAUCGAGCUGUUAUUGAGCCGAACACGAGCGAGCUGAUCCUAGCUCGUGUUCGGCUCGUUUAUUAAACGAGCUGAAAAAUCUAGCUCAUGUUCGGCUCGUUUACUAAACGAGCGAGCCGAUCUCGAGCUCAUUUCGAGCCGAACACGAGCUGGCUCGCGAACAGCGAGCUGGAUUGCCACCCCUAGUUAUGGACAGAGCAAAAUAAUAUCUUUAACUAUAUAUCCAUUUUUUAAUUUGGACCGUAAAAGUAAAAUUAUUUUACCAAAUAUAUCGGUGUGAUUGAUAAAAAAUCUCACCUAUUCGAUGAAUGAAUUGUUUGAUUUACAUUCACUUUUGGAUUCAUCAGUAGCAUCGGCACUUCUAUUGAUAACUACAUGGAACGUCAUAUGGCCAUUUGAUUGUGUAACUAACUUUUGCGUUAUGUAGGCAUGCUCUUACAUUAAAGAGGUUCUAUCGAUUGAAUGUUUGGUAUGUGGCAAAGUAGUGGAGUCUUACAAUAUUAUUAAAACAGAUAAAUUACAAUUUUGGUCCUUAAACUAUAAAAUAUGUGAUACUCUAGUUCUCAAAUUUUAGUUUACCGUAAUUUUUGACUCAAAUUUUUUGAAAUAUUAUCACAAUCUAAUUUAUCAGGCUAAAUAUUGACAAAAAAUUAUUAAAUUAUUAAUAUAGAAGUGAUGUAGUAUUAAAUAAUGCGAAACAACCGUUAUUCUCUAAAUACUUAAGCUAUCAUCCUUUUAUCUGGACUGAGAUAUUUUUUGAUAAGCUUAAGUUAUCACUCUCACAUCUAGACAUUUGAUAGGCCCAAUACACGAGGUUAAAUUAAAUAGGAGUAAAUUAAUAAUACUAGGAGUUUGACAGGACUCGAACUCAGAACAUUCUGUUCUAAUACUAUAUUAAAUUAUGUAUAACAAUCAUUAUUCUGUAAGGUAUCGUUUGGCUCGGAGAUAAACAAAAAAAUGGCUAUUCCAAGGAUAGGUAUAAAUUGAGGUAUAAGCGGGAAUUAGAUCAAUUUUGCGUUUGGAUGAAAAUUGAGUUAUUCCUGGGAAUAAAAAAAAUUGCGUUUGGUUAGGUAAUAUAGAAUAAAAAGAAUAGUGAGUUUUAUAAAUAAAAAAUAAUGUAUUAUCCUCUUAUUAUAUUUGAAUUUGAAUUUUAAAAUUUUAAAAUUUAUAUUUUUAAAUUUAAAAUUUUAACUUUGAAAUUUCAUUAAUUGAAAUUAAAAUUUAAAAUUUAAAAUCUCAAAUUUUCAAUUCAAAAUUUAAAUUUUAAAUCUCAAACUUUGAAUUUAAGAUCAAAUUUAAAUUUGAAAAAUAUAAAUAUCAAAUUUUAAAUUUAAAAAUUUAAAAUAUCAAAAUUUGAAUUUAAAUUUUAAAAUUAUAAACUUUAAUUUUGAGAUUACAAAUUAUAAAUUUUAAAAUUUAAAAUUUAAAAUUUUUAAAUUUUUAAAAUAAGAAUAGGGAGGGGAACAAUUAAUAAAAAUAAUUUAUUAUAAUAUUUAAAUAUAAUUUAUUAUAAAAUUUAUUAUAAUAUUUAAAUAUAAAUAAUAUGUAUUAAUAUAGUAUAAUUAAUAAUUUUAUAAUAAAAAUAAUGUAUUAUAACAUACACCAUAUUAUAUUUAUAUAAUUUAGUUUUAAUUUAAUUUAUAAUUUUAAUUAAGUUUGAAAUUAAAUAUUGGAAUAACACUAUUCCACCAAAAUGGUGGAAUAGCAAAUACCUUGCUAUUCCGAGAUAACCGGGAAUAGCAAGGUUUGACCGGGAUAAAAUAUUCAAGUAAAAUAUUAUCCCGUUUGGCGGAAUAGUGGGGAUAACUUUCGUUAUCCCUGCUUAUCCCCUUUACCAAACAGGGCCUAAAAGCUUAAACCAUCUGAUAAUAUUAUUUUUAUAAUUAAUAUUUAAUAUCUUAAUUAUUAUCGUAUCAUUAAUUACAAUAUUUUUAUAUUAUGUCGGUCUUAUCAAAUGGUUGGAAUUUUAUGUUCCAUAUUUUGAUUUACCCUUUUGAAACCGUUGGGCCAAUUUGCAUAAAAAAUCCACUUAUUUUGGGCUUUCGCAAAAUCGGGCUAUCUUUUUCGUUUUUGCAGAUUCGGUCCGCUUUUUCAGCAAACUGACCAAAAUAUCCUUUUUACUUUUUCUCUUUCCUCUUUCUCUCUCCUCUUCGUUUCUCUCGUUCUUUUUUUUUUUUUCUCGCUGGCAGAGCGGAGGCGGAAACGGUCCGUCUCACCUCUCACCCUCAUUCUCUCGCCCUCGUCCUCGCCCUUGCCCUCGUCCACGCACCCCCCACCUUCCUCGCCUCCAACCCCGCGAAGGCCGCGCCACGACUUUUUUUUUUUUUUGCUUUUUUCUUUUCUUUUCUUCUUCGACUCUUCUCCACCGUCUCCGACGACGACGCCUCUCUCGUCCUUCCCCGCCCUUCCCGCCCUUCUCAUCUCUCCCUCUCCCUCAUUCUCUGUCGCCUCCGACGACGAUGCAUCUUCGCCGGCGCCGACGUCGACACCGUGGAGGUCACUGCGGCGCUACAGGCUCGGAGCGGGGGUCCUUAGCGGCGUCGUCGCCGGCACCGUGGCUGUUGGCAGAAAGGGUGACAAAAAAAAAUUAUAGAAAAAACAAAAAAAAAAUAGAGAUAAAAAAUUAUAUAAAAAGAAGGAUGAACAUGAAAUUGCAUCGUUAACUACAAAAAAAUUAUAAGUUGCACUACUUAAAAUGUAAACUGCAGCUUUAAGAUAAAAACUAUACUCUUUAAACGAAAAUUACACUCUUUGAGAGAUAUUUACACUGUUUCUCUUCUUAUUGCACUCUUUCAGAUGUAAACUGUAUCCAUUAAGAUGAAAGUUACACUCUUUAAAUGAAAGUUGCACUGUUUUUCCUCUUGUUGCACCAUUUUUUCUCUUGUUACACUAUUUUUUAUCUUAAACUGCACCCUUUUAAGAGAUAUUUAUACUAUUUUUUCUCUUGUUGCAUUGUUUCUCCUCUUGUUGCAUCAUUUCUGUGUAAACAAGAGAAGAAAUAGUACAACAAGAGGAGAAACAUUGCAACAAGAGGAGAAACUGCACUGUUUUAAGAGAUAUAUAUACUGUUUCUCCUCUUACUGCACCAUUUCUGUGCAAAUAAGAGAAGAAAUAGUGGAACAAGAGCAGAAACUGCACUAUUUUAAGAGAUAUAUCUACUGUUUCUUCUCUUGUUCCACUGUUUCUCCUCUUGUUGCACUAUUUCUGUGUAAACAAUAGGAGAAAUAGUGCAACAAGAGGAGAAAUAAUACAAUAAGAGGAGAAACUACACCCUUUUAAGAGAUAUUUAUAUUGUUUCUUCUCUUGUUGCAUUGUUUUUCCUCUUGUUGCACCAUUUCUGUGUAAACAAGAGGAGAAAUAGUGCAACAAGAGGAGAAACAGUGCAACAAGAGGAGAAACAGUAUAAAUAUCACUUAAAAGGAUGCAGUUUAAGAUAAAAAAUAGUAUAACAAGCGAAAAACAGUACAACUUUCGUUUAAAGAAUGUAAUUUUCAUCUUAAUGAUUACAGUUUAUAUCUGAAAGAGUACAAUAAGAAUAGAAACAGUGUAAACAUCUCCCAAAGAGCGUAAUUUUCGUUCAAAGAGUAUAAUUUUUUUCUUAAAGCAGCAGUUUACAUCUUAAAUAGUGCAAUUUAUAAUUUUUUUUUUAAUUAACGAUGCAAUUUCAUAUUCAUCCUUCUUUUUAUAUAAUUUUUUAUCUUUAUUUAUUUUUCUGUUUUUCUAUAAUUUUUUUUGUCACCUUCUCUGUCAAUAGCUACGGCGCCGGUGACAACGCCGCUAAGGACCCCUCGCUCCGAGGCUAUAGCGCCGCAGUGACCUCUACGGUGUCGACGUCGACGCCGGCGAAGAUAAAUCGUCGUUGGAGGCGGCAGAAAAUGAAGGAGAGGGAGAGAUGAGAAGGGCGGGGAAGGGCGAGAGGUGUCGUCGUCGGAGACGGUAGAGAAGACUCGGAGAAGAAAAGAAAAGAAAAAAGCAAAAAAAAAAAGGUCGCGGCGCGGCCUUGGCGGGGACGGAGGCGAGGAAGGUGGGGGGUGCAUGGACGAGGGCAAGGGCGAGGGUGAGAGUAUGAGGGUGAGAGGCGAGACGGACCGUUUCCGCCUCCGCUCUGCCGGCAAGAAAAAAAAAAAAGAACGAGAGAAACGAAGAAGAGAGAGAAAGAGAAAAGAGAAAAAGUAAUAAGCGUAUUUUGGUCAGUUUGCUGAAAAAGCGGAUCGAAUCUGCAAAAACGAAAAAGGUGGCCCGAUUUUGCAAAAGUCCAAAAUAAGUGGAUUUUUUAUGCAAAUUGGCCAAACCUUUGUACUCGAUUUUUAGGGAUUCGGUGUAUGAGAUAUAUUUAUACACCUGGUGCGGCAAAUAAUGUCUUGUUUACACGAGCACCUGGUUAGUCGUUAGAGUGGUUUUCUCCUACUCGUGCCUAACUCACCGCUCACCUAGACCCUUCGUUCUAGCCAAUGAACUUACGACACGUCAUCCAUCUCGGGUGGCCCAUCGCUUUCCCAUUUAUGACUAGACCAAGUUCAAAUUAUAAAUAGACCGGGUUCACAAACACCUACGUACGCACCCACGAUAUUAACAACACAUGCAUUAAGCCCACUAAUUCAAUCCCACGUGUCAUAAAAAUAAUCUAAUUUUAAUGCCCAAUUAAUUAAUAAUUAAUACCCAACCGCCAUUUUAGUGCCUAAUCCGUUGUCCAUCAACCUCAUGUUCCUGACAAUUUAUUUCUGGACCCGGUCCACCAUUUCAUCCCCAAAACUCCCCUUAUCAUCUAAUUGGUAAUGACUUAAAAUCGAAUCACCUAUUCGAAUAUAUAUAAAUCUAACGUGUUUCAUUAAAUAGACACUCUCAUUCUAUAAAUCAUGCCCAAUUAUUUAAUGUUUAAAUUUUGGGUUUUAUAUUUGAGUUUUGUUAGGAAAUUAACGUAUGCUAUCAUAAAUUAUAUACAACAGUUAUUUUUGAGUAAUCCUUUUAUAGUACUAAUCUUUUCAAAUACAUUAAUUUUUAGUUUAAUUUCACUCUCAUGAAUUUUAGGGUUUGUUUGAUUUAUCUAUAUUAAACUUUAGAAUCGAAAUGAGAUUCAUUAAUUUCAAUAGUUGUUAUUUUGUAGGAAUUUAAUUUCGAUUCUCAUUUCACUUUAUAAUAAAACUGAUGAAAAAUAUAUUAAUGCUCGAAUCUUGCAAUGAAUAUUAAGUUAGUUCGUUCCAGAAUAAGCCACUAAAAAGUUUUUCUCGCAAACAUUUUCCCUCCUUUCCCUUCAUCAUACUUUUCUCCCUUAAUUAUUUUUUUUUUUCAAAAUCCUAAUAAGUAUCUCAAACUACCCAUUUCAAAUUUUUUUUUUCAAUAAUGAACUAAAUAAUUUUUGAUGAUCGCCAUUCCAUCUUCUACCAUUGCAAUUUAUUUUAAUUUUCUAUUUUUAUUCCAAUCAUAAAUUGAAUAUGAUCUAGAAGUAAAAUUUAAUAACAGUAAAAUUCUAUCUCUCAUGAAAUUUCUUUCCAUUAUACCGAAGUCUAUAAGAUUUUGUCUAUACUUGAAUACUGAAGUCCGUUAUUUAGUGAUAGUUUAUUUGGUAUGAAAAUUGUUUAUAGUGAAAUAAUAUAUUCGACGCUUAAAAUUAUUUUUUUAGAAUAAAAUAAUUUUUUUCGCAGGUGAGAUAUAAUACUCUACAAAUCUAUAAGAAAAAUUUUUAUAUUGAUUAAUUUAUUUUGAAAUAGCCUAUUCCUAAGUCCAAAUCUAUAUUUAUACCUUCUAUAUCUAUACAUUAAUUCUCAUAGUUACAUUCUACGUAUACCCACCCCUUAAUUUGUAAAAGAGUGAUUUUUUUUUAAUAAGGUUUAAUAGUUUUGUUGAAACGAUUAAAUUUUUUUUAUUAUAAUUUUAUUUUUUAAAAAUAUUUCUCUAUAAAUAUAGAUUAUAUUUAUUAUUUUUAUACUAAAUUAAUAUUUUAAUCAUUUUAAACCACAAGGGAACAAAGUGAGAAACUACAAAACUACAGGGGGUUUUUGAAGUUUUUUCUAAUAUAAACUAUAGUUACUAUUUUUUAUNUCGAUCGAAUUGGAGCGAAAACCCCAAGUAGUUCGGUCUAGUACCUGAAACACGGAUUGGGAGACGAACUUGCCGUUGCUCUGCGACUGCGCCGCGAGGGAGACGAAGAGCGAUCUCAGAUCCUCGAGCUCUUGUUGCGAGAAAGCCCUUUCCAUGGAUGAUUCGCGGGAGAUCUAGGGUUAGCAGAUGAAGAGAGAGAGAGAGAGAGAGAGAGAGAGAGAGAGAGAGAGAGAGAGAGAGAGAGCAGUUGAUGAGCGUGAUAAGAAGGGAUUGAUUUGAUUUGAUUUCCCACCAUGGCUCCGCAUGCCCGGAUGCUGUUUCCCUAUCCGGACAACGCGACGACUUGCUUGUUCGAGUGCUCCGACGCGUGCGACUUCUACCACCUCUGCCGUCCCCCCUUCUUAUACGCCCCUCCCCCUCUCCGUCCCCCUCCUCAGCAAAACCCUACCUCCCCGAUCCGCCUCCACCACUCCUCCCGCCUCUCCCUCGCCCUCGUCGCCUCCGCGUCCUCCCUCGCCGCCGCCUCCCUCGUCCUCCUCCUCUUCUUCUUCCUCGGCCCCGCCCCCCUUCUCCCUCGCCGCCGCCGCCGCCGCAGCCGCCGUGUGCCUCGCCGAGUUCCGGGACGGGGAGCUGCUCCGGCUCCUGCCCAAGUGCGGCCACGCCUUCCACGUUGCGUGCAUCGACACGUGGCUCCGGGGACACGUCAACUGCCCCCUGUGACGCGCUUCCCUCGUUAUCGCCUUCUCUAUCCCCGUCGUCGUCGUCAUCUUCUUCGGACUCCACCAUUAGCGAUCAUGAUGGCUCCGAUUCGAGUAAUCAGGUGGAAGUUAGGGGAAUUGAAGAGGGAACAGAUGCUGGAGAUGUCGAAAUCGGAGGUGAUAAUGCAAUUGAGGUUAAUUCGACAGUAGAAGUGUCUUCUUCAUCUAGGGUUCUUUCUAACUCACAGUCACAGGUAAUGAUCUAAUGAACAAGUUUGGGUUUCUCGUUACAACCAUUUUUUUCAAACAUUUUGUAGGCACUAAUAGCCCCUUUUUUUUGUUCUUCUUAGGAUAAAGUAUGAAGAGAGAUGUUUGAGAGGGUAAACAAUACAACUUUGUAGAGGAGAAAGGCUUGGUAUCAGCGGGAAAAAAAAAAAAAAAGGAAUACAAGAAUGAUUUUUUAGUGCAAAAGGAGUUCACCAGUUCGCCGGCAACAACCCUUUUCGUAGCAAUGUGUACAGAAAGGAAGGUGAAAAUGAUAAGCUUUCCUUGUCCAAAUGGUUUGGCUUGUAAGCUUAGGUUGCAUUUGCAAAUUUUCAUAAGUGUAAAUAUUGAAUUGAAAAAGUUAAUGGUUUUAGCUUUUCUAGCUCCCUCGCUUCAUGAAUGAUGAUACAAAUCUAUCAAGAGCAUAUAUAUUGACAUUUGUUUGUUGUGUAGAAAUGAUAAAUACUGGAGACAAUGGUGGUGGAAGACAUUAAUAAGCUUUAGUUGUUGCUAAGAACCUGUUUCAUUCAGCUGGAACUUCUGUUGACUAGAGCUGUUUAAACAAGCACUAGUAGCUGUUUAAUCAAAAUCUUCUUAAGGAACUUCUCUCUGUAGCAAAAGAUGUUGCUUUUGGAGCCCUGAAGCUCAUUUUUAGCUACUUGUGAUAGCAAAAGUUCUAAACAUUUUGUUUGCCCAAUGCUUGGAUUUUGGAAGUUUCUAGUUUUUGGAGUAGAACCUAGACUAGCACCAAGUGCUGUUUGGUUCUUUUGUUCUUACUCAUCUUUAUUUUUUUUUAAAAUACAUUGUAGAUUCUGGUGACAUUUGUUAGUUAGAUCUAGGCAAGUAAAUCAAGCUCCAUACACAUAAUUAUGCCAUAAUUCGGUCCAGCGAGUUGAUUUUGUUUUAGAUUUUAGUCUUUAGGCAGAGCUAGAGUUUGUCUUCUAUUUUGGUGCAUUCUUAUGGACUGCUGUCCAUAUUGUCCGGCUUAUCUGUUCUUCCCAUUUCAACCCAAGUGUGAUCAACUGGAAACGAAAAUCAUAAGGAAGGAUGUGUCUUAUGGGUUUCUUUUCUUAAAGGAGUCCAAUAUAGUUGCGAUUUAGAUCAGAUUCUUCUUUCAACUUGCACAGAUAUGAUUCUUGUUUCUCUCCAAAAGCAGGGUUAAAAAGUGCUCCUAUUAAGGUCGAGUUAUUUUAUUACCAUUUACAAAUUUCUAGUUGGAAAGAAGAUGAGCGCAAUGGUGAUAAUAGUAGGGAAAAGAUGAGCGACCAAAUAUCCAAAUGAUAUGGACGUAAAGUUGUUAUAAAUCCCCCCUUGACUCGAAAGCCUUCUCUUUCUAUUUUAUUCUCCUUGAAAACCAUCUUGUUCUGUUUUACUCUCCUCAAACGCCUUCUCUUUCUAUUGUGUUCUCCUGUUCUUUUAUUGCCACUAACUCCAUCUUCUUUUCUCUUAUUGUUUUAGCAAGUGAUUGUUGCAGCAGUUAAGAGAAAUCACGCUGCUUCGGUCCGAGUUGGGAUUACACUGUCUGAUAUGAUAAUUUGAUGCAAUUGUCAUUUCCAUAUGCCUUCUAUUAUCUAAUUUCUACUUUGUGAAAGAACCUAUAGUUAUUCUUUCUGUUCUCAACUUCUAAUAUCGUCUUUCAACUACCAAAAUUAGAACAUCACUUCAAUAUAUUUUACUAAGAUGUAUAAUCUAAUAGUUGUUGGUGAAAUAUGGGGCUGUUCAUCUAAAGUAGUUAUCAUGCCUUUGGCUUUGUACUGUAAGCAUAAAUGUGCCUUUUUAGUCUGCUUGCUUAGAGGGGACUUGCAUAGUAACUGUUGGCUGUUGGCUGGGCCUAGGAAGAGUUUGGUUCGCACAUAGCCCCACCAACGACAAGUUUGUUAGAUUGAAGAUCUUUGUUGUGAUCGAGAAUGUGUGGAAAUCAAUGUAGGCUGCAUCCGAGGGAGAAGGAAGGAUGUGACGCAGUUCUGUCGCACAACAUUGAAGACAAACUUCCGCAAUGCCACAACUGUGCUGUGCUUCUGUUGUCUCCCUUAAACUCUAAUUUCUCUCCUUCGUAGAUGUGCUUUUUCCAUCCUGAUCUAUCAAAAACCUAUAUUUUCCCUAUUGAAGUACAAGUGUUCGUCGCAAAUUUUGUCACCAUUUCUUGUGCAAUAUUUGUCACUAUUUCUUGUGCAAUAUUUAUCGCUUUGCUUAUAGGUCAAGGGGGUAAGAUGUAGGUUCUCUUUUUUUUAGAGAGAGAAAAGUAGCAUGCUACCCGUUUUAUUUUAUUUUUUUUUAGAAAUAAACUUAGCUUAAAAUGCUGAAAAUGUGAAUCCACUAGAAUUCGAACUUGGGACCUCGAGUACUAACUAUCAAAUCCUUUCCCACUUGCACUAUGGAUGAUCGGUGUAUAUAGCAACAAAGUUAUCUAACACAAUAUCCUUCUUAAUUGUGUUUUGGCCCUCCGAACAUAUGGACUUAAAAAUGUUCCUAUUUGUUAUUUGGUUGAUUUAUUCUAAAGCUUAUUUCAUAUGCAAAAUCUAAUUAAAACUGCUCUGGUUGCAACAGUUAAACUAUGGUGGAUUUAUUAUGUUUUAUUGUUUGCAGUGAGCUUUAGAGCAAUCUUCUACUGCUAGUUGUGACUAAAUUAGGGUUUCUCGUUACACCAAUCUGCAAAUAUUGAAUUGUUUGUGGGAUUUGGCACAUUUGUUCCAAUUUAUCAUAUUUUUUAUAUAGUUCUUCCUAUCAUCUCACUUUCUGAUCUCGUGUCCGCUAUAUUUGUAAUCCAAAAACACUUGCAUUUAGGAGGACCAAAGUUUUAGAAUUUCUUUUCGCUCUAAGAUUUAUCCAUUUCAUUAUCAUUCAUCUGAACAGUUUAUAGGUCUUGAAUGUGAAGCAUGCACUGAUUCUACAAAUCAAAAUCAAAGAUUUCCGAAAUGAGGUCUCAAAAUAACUUUUUAAAACUCAGGCCAAACACGCUCAUUCAAAGGUCCGUAUAAAAAAGAGAAGAAAAACCCUGCAAAUGCAAAAUCAUAUAGCUAGAGCUGCCCACUACGGUGGCUGGCGGCGUGAGAGAGAAGGAAUUCUACAUUAUCACACUUGCACCACGUCGUCAAUAACAAACCAAUCAUAAUUUUUCUUUUAAAAUAAAAGUAUAAUAAAAAUAAUUUUUUAUAAUCAUGAUGGGACAUAUAUGUCUAAAAAAAAAUAUUUGAUUGAUUUGUUACGCCACGUUAUCAAUAUAUUCUGUACAUUUUAGAAUUUUUCCUGAGAGAGGUGUGACGAGGUGUG
rnacentral:lncRNA from 1 species